GUUAAAUUUAGCUGUUCAAGACCUGAUUAUCUUUUGUUUAUGUAUUUUAUGUGUUUGUUCAUGAUUUUUAGUUCUCACAAGAUGUGGCUCUUUUUUUUGGUAUAAUGAAGAUGUGGCUCUUAGGUAAAAGGUUGGGUGAGAACAAGGGCGGACGUAGGUGGAGUCGAGGGAAGGCAAUUGCCACCCCUUAAUUUUGAAUGUGAAAUAUCUAUUAUACCCCCGCUAAUGAUUUAUUUACAAACAUAUCUUUAUAUUAUUAAACAAGUAAUUCCUAUUCUUCUCCAAGACUCCAACCGUUCCCUACACUCUUCCUCCUCAAAUUCAAUUUUCGGCAAUUCCUCCUCAUUGUCCUCAAAUUCAAUUUUCGGCCACUGCUAUACUAUUGUCUUGAAGUUCAAAUUCCAUCUAUCCUUGCAAUUUGCAAUCACAAUUCACAAUACAGGUAAAUCAUUAAAUCUGUCAUUCUCUUUGUCUUUUGAUUGUUUGAAGUUCAUAUAUUUAUAUAAUCAUAUUGAUUUGUUAAUUGUUAUUACUUUGAAUUUUUAUGGAUAGCUGUAUCGAUGUUGAAGUAUUAUCAAAAAAGUCAAUAAAAAUUCGUCUUUGCCUAACGUGAGUUCCAACGAGAGUGUACCAAUCUCGCCUCAAACGAUCAGGAACUCAACUCCAUGUGGACCUUCUCUGAGUUUGAAAGAUAAACCACAGAUUAUUGAUGAAAAUUCUGACUUGCCAGAACUUCUUUCGAACCCAGGAAAGCGAUCAAAAAUCACAACUUAUCAUCCUAAUAUUCUUUAGAGAGUUCGGAGGAAGUACUAUCUAGAUGGUGCUUGUCAACCAAUUGUGAGAACUUUCCUCAACGUGAUUUUGAUGGCAUAAUGCGUAGGUUUAACCGCUCAUGGUAUGAUGAAUUUAGUUGGUUGGAAUAUAGUAUAGAGAAGGAUGCAUCAUUCUGUCUUUAUUGUUAUAUCUUCAAGAAUGAAUUGGGUCAGGGAAGCGGUGAUGCUUUUACAGUUACAGGUUUUAGGGAUUGGAAGAAUAAACAGAAGCUUCGAAAGCACGAAGGGGGUAUUAAUAGUGCUCAUAGACAAGCUUUUAGUAAAUGUGAAGAUUUGUUGAAUUAGAAGCAACACAUUGAGCCAACAUUGCUUAAGAUGACGGAUGAAGCAAAACUGAAUUAUAGAACGCGACCAAAUGCUUCGAUUGAUUGUGUUAGGUGGCUUUUGAAGCAAGGACUUGCCUUUCGUGGUCAUGAUGAAUCUGAGGAGUCAAGCAAUCAAGGUAAUUUUCUGGAGCUUCUAAAAUUUCUUGCUAGCCAUAAUGAUGAUGUAAGGAGAAUUGCUCUACAUAAUGCCCCUGCAAAUCUUAAGUUAAUAGCCCCUCGUAUUCAGAAAGACAUUAUUAGAGCUUGUGCAUCUGAAACAACCAGAUCUAUACUUGAAGAACUUGGUGAUGGAGUUUUUUGUGUUCUUCUAGAUGAGUCCCGUUAUGUGUCGAUAAAAGAACAAAUGUCUGUUGCUUUGAGGUUUGUAGAUAACAAUGGUUAAGUUCUCGAGAGAAUUUUGGGAUUUAAGCAUGUUGAGUGCACAAGUGCUAUUUCACUCAAAGUAGCACUUGAAGACCUGUUAAAUGCACAUGGAUUAACCAUAUCCAUGUUGUGUGGCCAAGGCUAUGACGGAGACAGCAAUAUGCAAGGUGAAUUCAAUGGAUUAAAGUCUCUUAUCUUGAAAGAAAAUUUUACAGCAUAUUUUGUCCAUUGUUUUGCACAUCAACUUCAGCUUGCUUUGGUAGCAGUUGCAAAAAGCCACAUUCGUAUUUGUGAACUUUUUCUUUUGAUGAGUAAUGUGGUCAAUGUGGUUGGAGGUUCGUGCAAACGAAAAGACAACUUAUGAGAACAAGCUGCACAAAUCAUUGAAGCCUUGGAAAAUGAAGAAAUUACCAGUGGGCGAGGAUUGAAUCAAGAAAGCACUCUCCCUCGUCCAUGUGAUACACGUUGGAGCUCUCAUUAUGGUACUAUUCUGGGCAUUCUUGAUUUAUUUGGUUCUAUACUUGCUGUGCUUAGGACUAUCAUGAAAGAAGGAGCUCUAAGUAGUCAAAGGGGAUAAGCAUCACGUUUGGUAAGAGACAUGCUCUGUUUUGAUUUCGUAUUUGAUUUGCACUUGAUGAAAUCUAUUUUGGGUAUAACAAAUGAAUUGUGCAAGGCGUUGCAAAGAAAAGAUUAAGAUAUUGUGAAUGCAAUGGUGUUAGUAGGUAUUUUCAAGAAACGACUUCAAGCUAUGAGAGAUGAUGGGUUGAGCUCUUUGAUAAAAGUUGUAUCAGUUUUUUGUGUAAAAUACAAGAUUGAGGUGCCUGAUAUGGAUGCUGUAUAUGUGAGUGGGAAAAGAUUGAAACGAAAUCAGAGAGAAGAAGAGAUGACAAACUCACACUGCUACCGAGUAGAAGUAUUUAAUACUGUUAUAGAUAUGCAGUUGCUUGAGUUAAAUGGUCGAUUUAAUGAGGCAUAGAGCUUUUGGCAUUGCCGGACCAACUCGAGAAUUUUGUGUUGGAUGUGCGUUCAAGAAUUGACACUUCAGAUGUUAAAGGGCUCGGGGAUCUAACCAAAAAAUUAGUGGCAACUGGUAGACAUUUGGUGUAUCCGUUGGUUUACAAGCUUAUGACUUUAGCAUUAGUUCUACCGGCUGCAACAGCUUAUGUGGAAAGAGCAUUUUCAGCUAUGAAGAUUGUGAAGAAUCGACUACGCAACAGGAUGGGUGAUGAAUGGAUGAGUGAUAAUUUGGUGGUCUAUAUUGAAAAAGAUGUAUUUAGUUGUGUUUCUAAUGAUGCUAUUAUACAUAGGUUUCUAACUA